ACGAACGCUGGCGGCGUGCUUAACACAUGCAAGUCGAACGGAAAGGCCCUGCUUUUGUGGGGUGCUCGAGUGGCGAACGGGUGAUUAACACGUGAGUAACCUGCCCUUGACUUUAGGAUAACUUCAGGAAACUGGGGCUAAUACCGGAUAUGAGCUCCUGCUGCAUGGUGGGGGUUGGAAAGUUUCGGCGGUUGGGGAUGGACUCGCGGCUUAUCAGCUUGUUGGUGGGGUAGUGGCUUACCAAGGCUUUGACGGGUAGCCGGCCUGAGAGGGUGACCGGCCACAUUGGGACUGAGAUACGGCCCAGACUCCUACGGGAGGAAGCAGUGGGGAAUAUUGCACAAUGGGCGGAAGCCUGAUGCAGCAACGCCGCGUGCGGGAUGACGGCCUUCGGGUUGUAAACCGCUUUCGCCUGUGACGAAGCGUGAGUGACGGUAAUGGGUAAAGAAGCACCGGCUAACUACGUG
rnacentral:rRNA from 1 species